rnacentral:rRNA from 1 species
UACGUAGGGUGCGAGCGUUGUCCGGAAUUAUUGGGCGUAAAGAGCUUGUAGGCGGUUUGUCGCGUCUGCCGUGAAAAUCCGGGGCUCAACCCCGGACUUGCGGUGGGUACGGGCAGACUAGAGUGUGGUAGGGGAGACUGGAAUUCCUGGUGUAGCGGUGAAAUGCGCAGAUAUCAGGAAGAACACCCGUGGCUAAGGCGGCUCUCUAGUACGGUACUGACGCUGGGACGCGAAAGCGUGGGGAGCGAACAGG